GACGAACGCUGGCGGUGUGCUUAACACAUGCAAGUGGUGCGACGAACCAGAGCUUGCUCUGGGGCAAAGCCGCGAACGGGUGAGUAACACGUGGGUAAUCUACCCCGAUGACCGGGACAACCCGAGGAAACUCGGGCUAAUACCGGAUGUGGUGCGGAGACAUAAGUCUCUUCACUAAAGGUAGCUUCGGCUUCCGCAUUGGGAGGGGCCCGCGGCCCAUUAGCUUGUUGGUGGGGUCAAGGCCUACCAAGGCAACGAUGGGUAGCUGGUCUGAGAGGACGAUCAGCCACACUGGGACUGAGACACGGCCCAGACUCCUACGGGAGGCAGCAGUGGGGAAUCUUGCGCAAUGCGCGAAAGCGUGACGCAGCAACACCGCGUGAGGGAAGAAGGCCUUAGGGUUGUAAACCUCUUUCAGAUGGGACGAAGGUUCUCCGGUGAAUAGCCGAGAGGAUGGACGGUACCGUCAGAAGAAGCUCCGGCUAACUACGU
rnacentral:rRNA from 1 species